rnacentral:lncRNA from 1 species
CUACACAACUAUUUGAACCAAAAAAUGACACAGCAUUUGUCAAAGCUAACAAUACGUCAUUUGUAUUGCAUUGAUUUACUGUAAGCAUCAGUUGUGGGCUAUUUUGUAUCUUGUUGUACAUGUUAUCAAUGAUUAUCAUUUUGUCAUAAUUGUAUGUAACAUAUACUUGUUAACCUAUUAAAUUAAAUGCAUAAAUGUAUAUAUAAAGAAGCUAUCUAAAUGAUUGUUAUUAUGUAAAAUGAUAUGUUAAAACCUUUAGGACUGAUGGUUUUUUAAUGAUGUAUUUUAUUUUGAAUAAGAGAUUAUGUUACAAAAUGCAUAUUACCAAUUGUAGAUACAUGUGGAAUGUGUCAUAUUUAUAUAAUUAUAGUGCUACAGUAAUACUUUUAAAAUGUUUCCUUUUUUUCUUUUCUUUUCCUUCUGGGUUAUUUCAUGUUAUUACAGUACCUUGAUGAGAUCAACAUGGAAGAGUAUUGCCAAUUUUAGAAUGCAAUUCUGUUGAUUAAUUUAAAUUCUAUAUUUUUUUCCACCAUAGAACUUGUUUAAUAAUCUUGACAUAAAUAAUAAUUUUUGAACUUUAAGUAAGAAGAUUCCUUGGUAGUUGUUGUUUAUAUCCUCUAGACAGGGUUUCAUAAGCGGAUUUAUAGGAAUUCAUUGGCUCAAAUUGGUUGCAAAUAACAGAUUUGAUUUAUAACAAUUUAAGACCUUUUUAUUGUCUCAUUCCAUAGAUGAGAAAGCCAUUAAUUUGAGCGUUUAUUUUACUCAUAUGAUAAUCAGCUGGGAUUCAACAUAGAAACAAUUCAUGUCAGUAAUGUAAAUGUACAGAUAUUACCUUUUCCUUUGAUCAGCCUGCAACAUUUAUGUAGCGGAAGCGAGACAUAACAAUCCUAUAUUCCAUCAUCGUCAGUGACGUCAACAUUAUGCUCAGUCUGUGGAUUAAGAUUUUUCAGACAUCAUUUACUUUGCAAAACUUCAUUUUAUUAAAUUUUUACAGAAGCUUUUUAUGUCCAAAAAGACAGUAAUAUUAAAACAUUUUUUUUCCAUUUUUGUCGAGCCGUUCGACUUUAGUCGAAAACGCGUGACACAGCGAUCCUGCAUUCCGUCGGCGUCGUCGUCGUCGUCGUCGGCUGAGGCGUCCACAAAUAAUCACUCUGUGGUUAAAUUUGUUGAAAUUUUAAUAACUUUCUUAAACUAUCCUGGAUUUCUACCAAACUUGGACAGAAAAUUGUUUAUAUUCAUAAGAUAGUAUCCUGAAGUAAAUUUUGAAAAAAUAAAAUUCUAUUUUUCCCGUAUUUUACUUAUAAACGGACUUAGUUUUUCUGCCACGAAACAUUU